rnacentral:lncRNA from 1 species
CACCUCUCCAGCUGCCACAUCUAAGUUGGAGGGGGGCUAGUCCCCCCGGGGAGGGCCAACUCCACUGUGCCUGCUCCUCCUGGCCAGUGCUGGUCCCCUGUCAGCCCCACAGCACCCAGUCUGUUCGUCAUCAGCUCUGGGGAGAAAGUCCAAACUCCUUCCGCGGACACCGAGUCCUACGUGAUCUGGCUCCUGUCAACCUCUCCAGCCUCAGCUGACACCCUCGCCCAGACACGUGCCCCACGUGUUUCUCAGAAGACUCCUUCCAACCUCAGGGCCUUUGCACCUCCUGUUGGCCUCUCCUGGAAGGUCUUUUCUAGCCUGGUCAAUCCUCACCCCACUCUGUUCCUAGCCCUGUUGUCUCUCUCAGGGGGCUUUUCCCGACAUCGCCGGACUGGUCAGUGAGUGGCAGGACGUUUGGUCACCUGCUUGUUCGCUCAUCUCCCCACCAGAUCAUCAUCUCCUCAGGGGCAAAACCUGUGUCUUUUCCUCCGCCAGCAUAAGCCCACCUCUUAGGAAAGCACCUGGUGCAUGAAUUCCUGCGGAUUGAGUCAUCGAAGAGCAGGGACCCCUGCCCAGAGGUCACAGCCAUUUGACGGGGAAGCGGCAUGGAGCUGAAUUCCACGGCACAUUCCUGUGUGUGACCUAGAUGACCCACGUCCCCUCGCUGGCCUCAGCUUCUCUGCCUGGGAAAUGAGGCACUGGGCUCCCGGGACAGCCCUCUGAGCAGAGCACUCUGAGCCCAGGCUCUCAGUGGGGCACAGGGAUCCCAGAGGAAGAUCCGCUCCUGCCCCCAGGCUGCCCACACUGAUCAAAUGGAGGUGGAGGGGGCAGGGCCAGGAGGAGGAGAAAGGCCACGGGGCCUGGAGGCAGGUCUGGAAUCCUCGACAGCCAGUGGCGAACAAACCCAUCCUUGUACCGACUUGUGAGCAGAGCGGAGCCAGGCCCAGCCUACUGAUGUCUCAGCCUCAGUGCCUCGGAUUCAAGCGUUCAAAGGUCAUCGCCUGUAGUGCAGGAAUUGUCCCGCGGUGAGGAUGGCGGGGGCCCUGCUCCUGCAGCAGACAGCUCAGCAACUCUCCUCUCCAGGCCCAGACAGCCAGGCUGCUCCUCCCACUCCAGCCAUGCACCGAACACGUGGAGCCUCCAAGGCCCUGCCCGGACCUGACUCUGCCCGCUGGCGGCCCCCAGCGCUGCAGAGGGCGGGUAGCUCUCCACUCAGUCCAAGGAGCCCAGAGCCUGUCAGGUCCUGCUGGAUGCGGCCCUGGAGCAAGGCGGGGAUCUCGUCUAUUCAGGCAGGCGUGCCCUUGUUCCAGCCAGCUCCUUAGCCCAGCGCUCAUCCCAGUGCCUCCAUUCCCUCAUUGGACUGACCCUUUCUGAAAAUGUGCAAACAGCACUGGGUCAUGGCAGACAACUUGGAAAUACAGAUAAGGAGCAAUCUCAUUAUCCCCCUAUCCAGUGAUGCUGCUGAGGAAGAUGACAGUCAUGAAGACGGCGAUGAUGAAGAUGAUAAUGACGAUGGUGAAGAUAAUGAUAAUGGUGAUGAAGAUGGCAUGAUGAAGAUGAUAAUGACGAUGGUGGUGAUGAUGAAGAUGAUGACGAAGAUGGCAAUGGCAAUGAUGGUGACGGUAAUGAUGGCGAUGAAGAUGAUGGUGAUCAAGAUGAUGGUGAUGAUUAAGAUGGUGAUGAUGAAGAGGGCAAUGGUGAUGAAGAUGAUGGAGAUAUUGAUGAAGACGAUGCCAACAACUAACCAGAAGCCAGCUGUGGUUCAGUUUGGUCUCAACUUAGGGUGGUAUCAAAGGAGGCCAAGUAGGUCUCGUUUCCUCAAAAACCAAAGCCACUCUCAAAGAAGGCUGUCUUGUGUUUGGGGAUAGAAUUGGGCAAAAUCAGGAAAAUAGGCUGCAGGCGGUGUGCUGCCAUCACAUUGCCUGUCUCGACCCCCGCUGCCCCUUGAUUUGCUCCUCUGUACAUGUGGCUAAUAAGACUACCUGCCUCGGAGGGUGAUGCGAAGAUUAAUUUUACAGAAAGCGCUGAGCACCGGCCUGGCAUCUGGUCAGGAUGUAAUAAAUCGCAGCUUUUAUGAUUAUCAUGUUCAUUCCCAUCUGUCCAUCCUCUCCAGCUUGCCCCCUCUCUGCCCCUGGUGCUACUUCUCCCUUCUUCCCCUGGGCUGUCCUGUCACCUUGGCCCUGAGCCAAUGGGGCCUCUAAGCUGCUUUGUAAGAUCCUCAUGGGUUCUGCCUGCGGUCCAG